GACGGGCAAGUUCACGCGACUGCAUAAAUACGUAAACUGAAGGAAAUAAGUGUGAAUACCUCGUAUGCAUUGCUCGAGGAUGCUUGCAAUACUCAAGUGAAUUAUUCAGUGUGGGGUAAACUACAAACUGACUUCACACUAUUCCUUCAUCGGCUGUAAACUACUUGAAAGGUGUUCGUUGUUCGGAGGGCGGGACCCCGCAGCCGUCGGCGGCGGCAGGGAUACGGCCGACAAAGCCUGCUGCCGACAGCGAGCAGAUUGCGGCGGCCACGAGUAAUUCCGAGCAGGAUUACGUGUGGGACUAUCCGUCUCCGGAACUCGAGUACGCGCCCGACGCGAGCAGCGUGCUGUGUGAGGGCCAUUACUUCAGCGGGCCGUGUCAGGAGCUGCACCGCGAGCACUCAUCGAAAACGAACCGCGUCAUCGACGAGCUCAUCAACCAGCUCGAGGAAAGCAUCCCUUCUGAGGGCGUGCGCGCGAACGCAGGGGGUCGGGUUGUUUCCGGCGGCGCGCGUUUGGAAUCCGACGCCGGGCCAGCGACAAAGUCGUCUCGUCAGGCGCGGCGGCUGUCCCCAAGCGACCCGCUCGCGUCCGGGCCGGUAAUCUUUGCCGACGAAACAGUUGCCGACUCCGCGCAGAAUCCCGAUUCGCAGUCGGCGAGUACUGCGAUCAAUAUCGGCGAAGUCGCGCACGGCAACGGCCAUCACGCGCGCGACCUUCGUCAGUGCGUGCUGCGGCAGAACAGUGGGUGGCGCCAUCAGGAGGGAGAUUCGGCGCUCGGUGGGUCGCCCGCGCUCGGCGCUGCGGGUGCGCGCUCCUCACUGCCCAGCUCGAGUCCCGGCUCCGGCAACAGCGGCGUGCGCGAGGUGCACUUCUCGCUCGACGACAGCCUCGAGUGGGACUCGCCGACGCUGUCCCGCAAGUAUCUGUCGGGCUCGCCGGACGACGCGGAGACGAGAUCGGGCGACGGCGGCGGGGAGGCGACGCCCGGAGG
rnacentral:misc_RNA from 1 species